rnacentral:rRNA from 1 species
AGUAGUUUGACUCCGUGGCUACGAGGACGAACGCUGGCGGCGUGCUUAACACAUGCAAGUCGAACGCUGAAGCCUAGCUUUUGUUGGGUGGAUGAGUGGCGAACGGGUGAGUAACACGUGAGUAACCUGCCCCUUCUUUGGGAUAACGCCCGGAAACGGGUGCUAAUACUGGAUAUUCACUGAUCUUCGCAUGGGGGUUGGUGGAAAGGUUUUUUCUGGUGGGGGAUGGGCUCGCGGCCUAUCAGCUUGUUGGUGGGGUGAUGGCCUACCAAGGGCUUUGACGGGUAGCCGGCCUGAGAGGGUGACCGGUCACAUUGGGACUGAGAUACGGCCCAGACUCCUACGGGAGGCAGCAGUGGGGAAUAUUGCACAAUGGGCGAAAGCCUGAUGCAGCGACGCCGCGUGAGGGAUGGAGGCCUUCGGGUUGUAAACCUCUUUCGCUCAUGGUCAAGCCGCAACAUUGGUUGUGGUGAGGGUAGUGGGUAAAGAAGCGCCGGCUAACUACGUG